rnacentral:rRNA from 1 species
AGUUAACGCUGGCGGUAGGCCUAACACAUGCAAGUCGAACGGCAGCACAGUAAGAGCUUGCUCUUACGGGUGGCGAGUGGCGGACGGGUGAGGAAUACAUCGGAAUCUACUUUUUCGUGGGGGAUAACGUAGGGAAACUUACGCUAAUACCGCAUACGACCUACGGUUGAAAGCAGCGGAUCUUCGUACCUUGCGCGAUUGAAUGAGCCGAUGUCGGAUUAGCUAGUUGGCGGGGUAAAGGCCCACCAAGGCGACGAUCCGUAGCUGGUCUGAGAGGAUGAUCAGCCACACUGGAACUGAGACACGGUCCAGACUCCUACGGGAGGCAGCAGUGGGGAAUAUUGGACAAUGGGCGCAAGCCUGAUCCAGCCAUACCGCGUGGGUGAAGAAGGCCUUCGGGUUGUAAAGCCCUUUUGUUGGGAAAGAAAAGCAGCAGGUUAAUACCCCGCUGUUCUGACGGUACCCAAAGAAUAAGCACCGGCUAACUUCGUG